CCGGGUCACCACCCCCUGCCUCAGGGACACGGCGCCCAAGUGCCGUUCCCUCCGCGCCCAAUUCUCCCGCAGGCAGCCGUAGGUGCCGCAGCGACGGUCCGAGACAGGCGGUGGAGCGAACACCCGGACAAGGCCCCACAGAGCGUCCAGCGAGCGGGGCGGAUACACCACGGCCGACGUCCGCGCCCGCCGCACGUACGCACGCGCACUGCGCCCAGCAUGAGGGUCGCGGCUCUGAUCAGUGGUGGGAAGGACAGCUGUUACAAUAUGAUGCAGUGCAUUGCUGCGGGGCAUCAGAUUGUUGCUUUAGCAAAUCUAAGACCAGCUGGUAAGGAAGUGGAGUCCGAUGAACUGGAUAGCUACAUGUAUCAGACUGUGGGUCAUCAUGCCAUUGACUUAUAUGCAGAAGCUAUGGCUCUUCCCCUCUAUCGCCGGACCAUCAGAGGAAGAAGCUUGGACACAGAACUAGUAUAUACCAAAUGUGAAGGUGAUGAGGUUGAAGAUCUCUAUGAGCUUUUGAAACUUGUUAAGGGCAUCACUAGAGUGACCUUGCUGGCUGAGUAUGAUGCUCUGAAUCUCCAAGAUUUUCACAUGCAUUUGGAAGUGGGCAGCCAGGCGAUUGUUUACAGCACUCCAAAUGAACUGUGCACUCACAGCAAGUUUGAUAAACACACAUUUCCUCCUUUUAUCAGUGAGAUUGCAGAAUGUGAAGAAAAAGAAGAAGUAGAAGGGGUAUCAGUAGGUGCUAUACUUUCCGACUAUCAGCGUGUUCGAGUAGAAAAUGUGUGUAAAAGGCUCAAUCUCCAGCCUUUAGCUUACCUUUGGCAGAGAAACCAGGAAGAUUUGCUUCGAGAGAUGAUAGCAUCUAACGUUCAAGCAGUGAUCAUCAAAGUUGCAGCUUUUGGUUUAGAUCCAGAUAAGCAUCUUGGGAAAACCUUAGAUCAAAUGGAACCUAUUCUCUUAGAGCUUUCUAAAAAAUAUGGAGUCCAUGUUUGUGGAGAAGGAGGAGAGUAUGAAACAUUCACUUUGGAUUGCCCUCUAUUUAAGAAGAAAAUAAUUGUGGAUUCAUCAGAAGUAGUCAUACAUUCAGCUGAUGCAUUUGCACCUGUGGCUUACCUACGCUUUUUAGAACUGCACUUGGAGGAUAAGUAAUUGAGAGUGGUGACUUUGUGGAUUUGUCUUCUACUUCAAAUUGUUGAUUUUUACUUUAGACACUUGAAGAUUUAGUUGAAUGCAAAGAAAAGCUUAGAAAUGCAGAUUGCAGAAGUCUUGCUGAGAAAAUUGCCCUAGAACUUUGCACAAUGAAGCUUAUGCAUGGUGGAAUACAAACAGAAGUGAGUCUCCUUAACCGUACCCUGAGCAUCCUGGAUUCUACACAGAGGCAGACUCCACCCACUCUCAUGACUCACUGUUACCAAAUCUACAGCAAGUUUGUUGCCACUGCUCUGGAUAGUUGGCAGAAGAACUUACUGAUAUUCAAAAAAGGUACCCACUAUAUAGUUUUUCUAACCUACAAAAUAACAAUUUAUGAAAAAGUUUAAUUCAGGCAAUAUCAAGUCUCUCUUAGCACAUUUCAUAAGAGUUUGAACUAAAUCUUACAUAAUAAGGUUUGAUUGAGCUGUUAGGUUUUGUCUGGUGUCUGCGCACAAUUGAGAAUGAAGAACACUAAAUAGAAAGUUACAGCCAUCACAAACUUUGCCUUAAUUCUCCAAAGCAAUAAGUAAGGGGUUCCUGAAGAGCAUCUUAGGGGCCAGCAUUGUGGCAUAGCAGGUGAAGCCUCCACCUGCGUUGGCAGCAUCCCAUAUGGGUACCAGUUCAUGUCUCGGCUUCUCCACUUCCCACCCAGCUCCCAGCGAAUGAGUCUAGGAAAGCAGCAGAGGAUGGCCCAAGAGCUUGGGCCCCUGCACCCAUAUGAGAGAGCUGAAGAAGAACCUGGCUCCUGUCUUUGGUCUGGCCUAGCUCCAGCCAUUGUGGCCAUUUGAGGAGUGAACCAGCAGAUGGAAGAUUCAUUCUCUCAUUUCUCUCUCUCUCUCUCUUUCUCUGUCUCUUAGCUCCCCCUCCCCCGUAACUCUUUCAAAUAAAUAAAAUAAAUCUUUUUUUUUUUUAAGAGCAGCUUGAAGUUCUUAGCAAAUGCUGAAAAAUACUCUUUUUAGAAAUAUUUCUGCCAGGGCCGGCACUGUGACACAGUGGGUUAAAGCCCCAGCCUACAUCACUGGCAUCCCAUGUAGGUGCCAGUUCAAGUCCCAGCUGCUCCACUUCCUAUCCAGCUGUCUGCUGUGGCCUAGGAGAGCAGUGGAGGAUGGCCCAAGCCCUUGGGCCCCUGCACUGGCAUGGGAGACUAGAGGAGGCUGCUCGCUCCUGGCUUCGGAUCAGCUCAGCUCUGGCCAUUGUGAUCAUUUGGGGAGUGAAGUGGCAGAAUGGAAGACCUCUGUCUCUCUGGCUCUACCUCUCUCUGUAAUUCUGUCUUUCAAAUGAAUAAAAUAAAACAAUUCUUUAAAAAAAUAAAUAUUUCUGCCAAUAUGUCAUACUAUACGUUCUGGGAAUGUGGGGCAGAGGUAUUGAUGUUCCUGAUAUUUGUUCAUUAGGAGUAUUAUCUUCCCUAAGAACAUUUACAAAGGGUCAUAUCUUUCCAUUUUUCUAAAAUAUUUGAUAGAGAAUCUGUUUGUUUCCCCUUUAGAUCUGGCUUGGUGUUAGAACUUUCAGUUAUCCCACAAACAUCAAGAGUAGUUUCUGGGGCCAGCACCAUGGCUCAUUUGGUCAAUCCUCCGCCUGCGGUACUGGCAUCCCAUAUGGGCGCUGGGUUCUAGACCCAGUUGGAGCGUCGGAUUCUGUCCUGGUUGCCCCUCUUCGAGUCCAGCUCUCUGCUGUGGCUCAGGAGUGCAGUGGAGGAUGGCCCAGGAGGAAGCACCUGGCUCUUGGCUUCGGAUCAGUGCGGCACUGGCCGUAGCGGCCAUUUUGGGGGUGAACCAACAGAAGGAAGACCUUUCUCUCUCUCUCACUGUCUGUAACUCUACCUGUCAAAUAAAAAAAUAGUAGUUUCUGAAAUAUAUCAAAUUUAGGUCUAACUGUUAGGUAUAUUGUGUCAUCAGAAAGUAAAAAUUACUAAAAUGAAAUAACCAAGUCAGCUGAUGAUGGGAAUAUAUUUUAGAAAAAAUAAGAGUCUGUUUCUUGUUAUUAAAAGCCGGCCGGCGCCGCGGCUCACUAGGCUAAUCCUCCGCCUAGCGGCGCCGGCACACCCGGUUCUAGUCCCGGUCGGGGCGCCGGAUUCUGUCCCGGUUGCCCCCCUUCCAGGCCAGCCCUCUGCUGUGGCCAGGGAGUGCAGUGGAGGAUGGCCCAGGUGCUUGGGCCCUGCACCCCAUGGGAGGCCAGAAAAAGCACCUGGCUCCUGGCUCCUGCCAUCGGAUCAGCACGGUGCGCCGGCCGCAGUGCGCCGGCCGCGGCGGCCAUUGGAGGGUGAACCAACGGCAAAGGAAGACCUUUCUCUCUGUCUCUCUCUCUCACUGUCCACUCUGCCUGUCAAAAAAAAAAAAAAGCCAUAUUGGCAAUGAAAUCAUUGACUGCAGAUAAUAAUUUUAUCUACCUAUUAACCCAUGAUGUGUAAACAGUAUAUAAAACUAAAAUUUCAAAAGAUAACAAGCCAAGGGGCCAGCCCUGUGGCAUAGCGGGUUAAGCCGCCGCCUUCAGUGUCAGCAUCCCAUAUGGGUGCAGCUCUGGCCCUUGUAGUCAUUUGGGGAGGGAGCCAACAGAGGGAAGACCUCUCUCCCUCUCUGUCUCUCCUUCUCUCUGUAACUCUGCCUGUCAAAUAAAUAAAUAAAUCUUAAAAAAAAAAUAAGAUAACAAGCCAAAAGACCCCACUGACAGUAGCAUUAAAACUGUAAGGAAUUUGGGGCCGGCGCUGUGGUGCAGUGGGUUGAAGCCCUGGCCUGAGGCGCUGGCAUCACAUAUGGGUGCUGGUUCCAGUCCCAGCUGUUCCUCUUUUGAUGCAGCUCUCUGCUAUGGCCUAGGAAGGCAGUAGAGGAUGGCCCAAGUCCUUGGGCUCCUGUACCCACCUGAGAGACCCGGAAGAGGCUCCUGGCUCCUGGCUUCAGAUCAGCGCAGCUCCGGCCGUUGCAACCAUCUGGGGAGUGAAUCAGCGGAUGGAAGACCUCUCUCUCUCUCUCUCUACCUUUCUCUGUAACUCUGUCUUUCAAAUAAAUAAAUAAAUCUUAAAAAAAACUGUAAGGAAUUUAAAGAAAACCAUUCAUCUUUACUGCACGAUGAUGCAUUUUAAAAACUGGAAAGGUAUAUGAAGUUUCUGAUCAGCAAUUAUUUAAAGAUAUAUAUUCUGAAGUAGGCAAAGAAGGAAUAAAGCAGGAAAAAAAAAAGAAAAGCUUAAAACUUUCUGCCAAAAAACAAUAAGAGUAAAGGAGUACAGGGAAGAGAGAAAGAAGAAGAAAGUCUUAAAUGAUCAUAUUUUUUUAAAAAAAAAGUUUUGUUUAUUUGAAAGUCAGAGUUACACAGAGAAAGGAGGGGCAGAGAGAGAGAGAGAGGUCUUCCAUCUGCUGGUUCACUCCCUAAUUGGCCACAAUGGCCAGAGCUGCACAAAUCUUUAGCCAGAAGCCAGAAGCUUCCUCUGUGUCUCCCACGUGGGUGCAUAGGCCCAAGGACUUGGGCCAUCUUCUACUGCUUUCCCAGGCCAUAGCAGAGAGCUAGAUUGGAAGUGGAGCAGCCAAGACACGAACUGGUGCCCAAAUGGGAUGCCAGCAGGUGGCGGCCUUACUGGCUACACCACAGCGCCUGCUCCUAAACUAUCAUAUUUUAAAGUAUGAAGAUACAGCUAAAGUCAUGUGUCAUUGCCAUGGUUACAGAUAAGAAUCAGUGGCUCAGACUUGAAACCUCUCUAAAUAUUAUAUGCCUUCAUUUUGUAGAGUUGUCAGUCAUUUUGUUUGCUUGCUUUCUUGUUUUGAUCAAACCAGAACACAAAGUCAUGCUGCCUGUUACUGAUUUGGCAAACAGUACUUGAGAUGCUUGCUUUGCUUGAAUGAGCUUUCUCUGUGCUGCACCUGGUGACUAGGUGGAGUUUGCAAACAGUCGGCAUUAACUGUCUCUGCCUCUCACCUUUGAUGAUAAUAAACUUAAGACUCUUCUGAAUCUCUUUGGGUCUAAGGCUUGCAUACCUGAGAGCCUUUUCUCCUCCUGUGACUCAUGGAGUCCAUAGAAUUCAGUAGAAAAUUACUGUUUUCUGUUGAUAGGAAAAUAUUUCCUAGAGUUGCUCUUUAUUUUAAUUGAUUUUGGCCAUGGCUGACACAUUUGAAUUCAAGCUAUUUCACAGUUCUCCCCUCCUGCCCCCUGCCUCAGUAGCUUCAUUUGGUAUUCAAUGCAAGCUAAAAAACAACAUGAUAUAAAGUUUUAAAUCAUUUAAAAUAAACUUGAGUUUGAAUUGAGGGUAAACACAAUUCUUCAAAAUGUAUCUGUUCUCACUUAUGCACAGAUGUGGGUCCUGAUUUAGAAUGAGUUUCACCAAGGAAAUAGUUUGUAGAAUAGUUCUGUGAAGUUAGCAGGUGAAAUAAAUGCUAGUCAUCUUAACAGAGCUUGAAGUAAUUUCUAGGCAGGCCACCCAUAUUCACCUUAUAACUACAUAUAUUAUAAAUUACCAUUUUGCUUUAAAAGCAACUUUCUAUCGGAAGUUAAAUGAUCAUUUUAUAAUUUCCAAUAAAGGGAAAUAAAAACUAUUUUAAAUCUAAUAACCAUGCCUAAGAGAACACUUGAGCAUAAUCUUAUUGGCAUCAUUAGUAAUAAGAAUAUAUCACAAUAACCUUUUAUAAUCUUCACAGACAUUUUUUGGUUCCUCAGUCAUCUUUGAGGAUUCUUGGGUUGCCUUUGAGAGUAUAGGACUGACACAAUAUUAUUCAACAUGCUAAUACAUUUUAGGAUCACAAUUUUGGUUGUUACAACUUUACUAAAUUGGCUUGAUGGUUUCAAAUUAAGUAUCAUCUUGUGUUUUUCCUUUCCUCAUAUCUUUUAAAUGAUAGUGUCAUAUAAUAUGACGGCUCUAUGAGUCGUUUUGCUACCUCAUUCAUCAGAGUAAUCAAUGAGGAAAAAAGCCAUAUGGGUUGAGGUCCAUUUGUAUUGGGUAGGACAGAUGGCAUUAUUGGUAAAUGGAAAUAUUCCAAAUAUUUAUUGUAUAAUGAUAUCUCUGGGAUUCUGACUUAAGAAUUUUAAUAAUUUAAUUCCUGCAAUAACUGGAAAAUUGAGUAAUUUAUUCAGUCACCAUGUAUUCAUUUAAUGAUAUCAAUGUGUGAAUUGCUGCAUUAAUUACCUUUCAGUUAAUAGUUUAUUUUAAAUGAUAGGCAUUUCUCUUUCAAAGGCAUGCUUACUUAUCUGAUUUCUGACCAAGCUAUCACUUUGGUCUUGAAGGUUUUAAAGCUAAUAUCAAUGUUUGAGGCAGACAGUAAAUUAAAGAUAGGAUCCCAGAAAUGAAAGAUGCAAAAAUUACAUAACAGUUUUCUGCUGGUACUACCUCAGUCCCAUGGUCGGCAGAGGGGAAAGGUGGUGUUACAGACUCUCCUUUACAUUUGUGGCUUGUGUUCCUUGCUGCUCUCAAUAGAUUUUCUUAAAUUACAUGCUAAUAUAACUGUAGACAUAAUGAUGUAAUUCUGGUCUUAAUUGUAUUUUAUUUUCUCAAUUUGGAAUUGAGUCAUUUGAGCAAGGGUUAGUUCACUUUUUAAUUUAAAUAUUUUGUAUUGUUUAAAUGCUUACUGAAACAUCUAGUUAUGCCUUACUUUUGCAAUUGCAGAGUUAAAAAUAAUAGUUUUAAUUGAAAACGUCCAUUGUUGUUUUAUUUUGAAAAAUACUACUAGGCCUGUUAUUGAAGGCCUAGUAUGUGUUUAGACAGUGCUAGGAGCUCUGGCAGUACCUUCAGGUUUGCUACUUUAUUUAGAAAGCAAUAUAAAUUCUUUAACAGCACUGAGCUGUUUUCCAAUUAAAAAUAUAUUUUCCAAAUUAAAAAUCAGAAAUAUUAUCCAACAGUAUUCUUUUAAUUGUGAUUUAUUACUGUGAAAAAAUUAGAAAGACAUAAAAUCUAAAGAUUUUAUACUUAGUUAUAAUUUUUAAAUUGUUGAACCAUUUGAUUUUAUUUAUAUCUUUAAAUAAUCUUUAGAUAUAAAUUUGUCACUACCGUCAUGAAUUAUGCUCACCACUGAUUCCCAGUGUUUCGCACACUGCAUUGUACAAAGCAAGAGCACAUUUGUUGAUUGUGGUGCUGAUUAACAAGGUAGGUUGGUGCAUAUCCACAAAAAUAAUUGGGAAUAUAAGAAUAUAGUUAUGUGCUUUCAAAAUGGUAAUGUGAUCACUAAUCAAAUAAAAACUAUACUAAAAUUUCUCAAGAUUAAUCUUUUUAAAAGGUUGAUAUAAAAAUAGAAUAUGAUGGCAUGGACAGUGUGGUACAGUGGGUUAGGUUACCACUACGGAUACCCACAUCCUAUCUCAGAGUACCUUGAAUGGAGUUCUGCCUCUGCUUCUGAUCUAGCUUCCUACUAACACUCACUGUGGGAGGCAGCGGAUGAUGGCUCAAGUAUUUGGGUUCCUGCCACGUACAUGGGAAACGUAGAUGGACUCCUGGCCCAUUCCCAGCUUUUGAAAGCAUUUGGGGAGUGAAACAGAGUAGAAAACAUUCUCUCUCUCUCUCCCUCUCUCUCUCUCUGUUUCUCUCCUCUGUUUUUGUCACUCUGCCUGUCUUUCAAAUAAAUAAAUAAAACUUAAAAAUUAAGAUAUGUAAUUAUAUUGAUAUAAUAUCUUGACUAAGCUUUGUUUUGUCAGAAAUAUAGUGUCCAGUGGUCAAGAGGACAACAUAAGUUGGACCUUGCCAGAGAUAUCCCAUUCCAAAUAGACUCUCUUUUCUAUGAUUUAGAGCAAAAUAAAAGGGGUUUCAUUCCUACUGCCCCAGAAAAUAUGGACAGACUAAAUAUACCCUGAUGAUUCCAGAUAUCUUUAACACUCUAGAAAGAUUUCAAAAGCAUUGACUAAAAUUGCAUGAAUAAAAUUCUGUUAAAAAUCUCUGUAACAACAAUGAAACAAAGACUAACAUCCAUUGAAGUAGUAUAAAAUGUAAAAUAUUCUACAUAUGUUUACUGUUUCUUUUAUAAUAUCAGUCUAAGUAAUAUAAAAAGCACAUGUAUUUGGUCACUAAAGCCUUUUACUUCCUCUAUUUAUGGAAUCACAUAUGAGAAUGCUAUCCAAUAAGAUUUGUUUAAAAAAAAAAAAAAACUGGAUCUACAUUUCCAGCCCUUAACCUUCCCUGAAUUUUUUUUUCAGUAUUUCUCAUUAUCUGUGUUCCUCUCUCCUUCCUCAGUACUUAGUUGUACCGUGAGAGUUAACAAGACAAAGACAGACAGAUAUUAAUAGCACUUUUAACUUUGCAUCUCCAAAAGGAAACUGACCUCUCGGGCAACAUUGCAGGAUGCUUAUAUUGUUAUUUUAGGAAGACUUUAUUUCUCUUUUCUUAUACUAAAUUUUGUUUCUCUGCAGUAGUUUCAUCACAUCACUCCAAUGAUGCAAAGAAGAGAAGUCUCUGAAACUGAGCAGUCUGAUUAUGUUUACAAUGAAUGAAUGACUCUUUUCACUGUAUCAUGCUACAGGUUUUUCUCAUCAAAGUUAUUUUCCAGAGUUUUGGGUAUAACCCACCUCUUCACUACAUGAAAGGAUCACACAUUCCUAAAAGAAAGACAUGAAGACCAAUUUUUAGCAUUUAAUUUGUGUCCUAAGAAUUUUAUAUGGCCUAAUUUUUAAAAAACAAACUCAGAGUAUUAAAAUAUAUUUUAGACAAGCAAGUCCUGUGUGGGAGCUAAUUUUCUUUAUAAUAUUUUAAAAACACCUCAAUAUUUAUCCAACUAAUAUUCUUUAAAGAUGUUGUGUUCUCUGAGGGGAAAUAAUUUAAGGAUACUCAAUAAUAGAUUUCUUAAUUUUGUGCUGAGUUGUUUAGACUUUUGUUUAUUCAAAUUUAUCCCCCAAAAUUUCCAACCUUAAUUUCUGAAGAUGAUAGUAAUUGAUCAUGCCUGUGAAUAAAUAAAUAAACUUGGCACACUAAUGCAGUGUAUAAGCUGAAGUUCUUUAACAAAAGCAGCCUGUCAACUAUGAUGCAUUUAAGUACAGAGAAGACUGAUGCUUGCCAAAUGUAAAAUCAGACAGAAGAAAAAUAUGUUUUCAACCUUAGGGGAUUUCCAACAAUGAAAGAGGAAAUAAAUAAAAAUGUAGAUACACAAUAUUGCUAUACCUUGUCAAGGUAAUGUUAAUUGAAAUCAGGCUUUAAAAAAAUAAUAAUGUAAGAUUUCCACCAAAAGACUACUCAAGAGUCUGACAAUGUGUGAGUAGAAUUUUAAAGGUACAUUGACAAAAAUUGUGCCGUUACAUUUUCAAAAAGCUAUGCCCCAGAUUUCAUUGUCAAUGAUCUCCUACUGGUUAAUUAAUAUAAUCAGUUAUGUUACAAAGAGAAAGCUAAGAGUUUUGAAAAAUAUCCACAUGAGCCAUGUGGAACUCCAUCAUAAAUUCAAUGGUUAAAAUAUGCAGGUUUGUGUUUAUUUCUUCUGUAUUAUCAGGUUUAUGACAUUUAUUUGGUAGCUAGAUAUUGUUUUGAAUGUGCAAUGAUUUGAGUUAUUAAAAUACAGUUCACUUAUGAUCCAUGCUAAGAUCAUGCGGUGCAUUCAAAUGACUAGGUAGCAUUGAGUCUUUCAUCUCAGAGUGGUAUGUUUCAUUUCCCUAGGGUUGGGAUUAAAUUGAGAUUUUGUAUUCAUUUGAAGUAAUUGUACUGAGAAUAUUUAACAUGGGUCAAAUGGAGAAUAGUGGCACCCUGGAAGUGCUUAGAAAUAAUUUGCUUUUUAUACAUUGUUCCACAGUGGGAUUGAAAAAGAUUACCACGCCUUGUUUAAAGACGUUAUAUUGUUCUAUUUGUGAAUCUAAUGAAAUCUUUUGCAGAAAAGAACACCAAUUGCACAAAUGAAUUUGAGAAAAUAAGAAGGCAUCUGAAUCAAAUAAUUGUACAUUUGAAAUACGUUAGCUACUUUAACAGCCUUUACCUAAAUAAAAUCAGAGAUAUGUAUAUAUAUAUAUAUAUUUUUUAAUUUUUAACAUUUUCUUUUUAUUCCUAUAAUGUAAAGUAGGUGAAGUUGUAUUUAUUUUCCCAUAGACAUGGGAGAGAAUUGCCCAGCAAAACUAUGUACCCACAAUACAUUUUUCCAGACUCCUUUCUCCCCUGAAGCAGUCUUUUUAUUUGAGCACUGUUAAGUGAUUUUCCAACUUGCUCACUAAAAGUGCUUGGGUAUAUUAGUACCAGUCUCCCUCACAGGAUGCUGACUUUGUUAAAGCCAAGAGGAAAUAAAUUAUAUCUUGUGCUGGUUGUUUGUAUCUCCUCUCGUGUUUAAAAGAAUAAUAAUAAUUGCUAAACUGGAUCAACCUUAGUAUGAAAACUGAUCUGUGACAGAUGAUCAGCCACUGAAAAACAAUUUAAUACUGUAUUAGAUUUAGUGGUAUCACCUAAUCUUAGAGAAAGAGUCUAAACAAAAGAAUGCAAAUAAUGAAAAAAUUGAGUUUUAAUUUAUAUUCAGAAACUGUUUUAAAGCUAAAACAUACCCAGUGAUGGCUCAGGGCUGGAUUACUCAGUUUCAGAAGAAUAUGAUAAGUUGAGUCAAUGGAAGAGGUAAAAAGAAUAUAACAUUUUCUAAUACAUUGACAGGCUUCUUCUCCGCAUGGCAAUGUACUUAUAUUGAGCACAUUCUAAAAUGGAAGCUUGCUUCGAAUGUGCCUGUAAGUCCGAGAAUUACUUCAGGAAGAAAGAAGUGUUGCUUACACUCAGAAUUAGUAAGGGGUUGGGGGUGGGAGAACAUCUUCCAUUUGAUAAGCUCUCUGUGGUAACUUGGGAGUUCUGCUGUUAUAACCACCCUCCUUGGUCUUCCCCCAAACAUUAUUGUAUUAAUACAGUUAUUAUUCAUUGUUUAUUAUUGUUGAAGGUCUUUCAACUUUAACUAGAAAACAGCCACCAUAUUAUAACUCUGAGAGGGUCCACAUCACUAUCUGGGUAGAGGCAAUGGUGCCUAGCAAUAACACUAUAAUUUAGGAUUGCUUGGAAAAUUCUAAAUAAUUAAAUAAGAUAAUGACCUGCUAAAAAUGUAUUACCAAAAAGGAAAACAAAUUCUCAUUGUCAUGAAAUGUAUAAUUAUUUACAAUACAAUUAGAUCAAGUGUACUUAAAAUUACCUGGGACUUACCCUAUUUGAAAAAAUUAUGGGGGCCAGCACUGUGGUACAGCUGGUAAAGCCACGGCCUGCAGUGCCAGCAUCCCAUUUGACCACCAGUUUGAGUCCUGGCUGCUCAACUUCCAAUCCAGGUCUCUGCUAUGGCCUGGGAAAGCUGUAGAAGAUGGCCCAAGUCCUUGGGAGACCUGGAAGAAGUGGCUCCUGACUUCACAUCAGUGCAGCUCCGGCCAUUGCGGCCAUCUAGGGAGUGAGAAGCAGAUGGAAGACUUCUCUCUCUCCCUCUCUGCCUCUGCCUCUCUGUAACUCUGCCUUCCAAAUAAAUGGAUAAGUCUUAAAAAACAAAAAAAGAUUAUGAUCAGUUGAGAUAAUGUGAAUGGGCUGGCAUAAUAGAUUUUUUCUAAUAUAGUCUCAGUUACUUUAAGUAAAUAUGUAUUUAUAUUAAACCCACCCUGACAUAAAAAAACUCAAAUGGAUCAACUGAAAAACUACUUGAACUUAAAAGUGAAUUAAUUAACAUUUCAGGACACAAAAUAUACAUUUUAAAAAUUUCCAUUCAUCAAUAAUAUGAUGCUUUGGGGAUGGGGAUUAGAAAGCAAAUUCGUGGUAAUAAUCUCAAUUAUAAAAUACCUGGCAAUAGUUUGAAUAAGAAUUUCACAAUACCCAUAUCUGGAAGAUAUUAUGAAACUUUACCAAGUAACAUACAAGAAGAUAAAUGUUAUGUAUUACUUUUUUUAAUGGGAAUGCUAUAAAAAUAGCAAUAAAUGCAUUUGUAUAAAUUUAACAUGUCAGAAAUUUAAUGAGAGUACUUUAGGAACUGAGGAAAUUAUUCCAAAAUGGUAGGAUUUAGAAUAGUAAAUGAUAAUUUUUAAUAUUAAAAGGUAAAGCAUUAUCUAUUGAAUGUGAAAAUAUAUUCCAACACUAUAGUAUUUAAAAUGAUGUGGUACUACUGCAACUAGAAUCUAUGUGUAUGUAAAGUAUAAUGGAACACAUAAACAUAAAAUUAAUGCAAGCAUUUUUAUGACUCAAGCAUGACAAAACGAACUCAAUAAUUUAUGAUAGAGUAAAUUAUUCAAUGAAAGAUAGUAUGAGAUUUGUAGAGAAAAAGUGAUACAAUGAAAGUCAAAUAUUUAAUUUUUGAAGUUUUUAAUUAUAUAGGAAUGCUUAUAAAAUAAGACUAGUCAAGUAAAAUAUGAAUAGGUGAAUAUAUAUAGAUAUAUAUACAUAGAAAAAUUAGCUGAUGGGAACUAUAGCAAAUCAUAAGAAUCAUAGAAAGGGGAAAUUGUUGGGAUGAUUGCAGUUGAUUUUAGUUUUCUUCAUUUAUUGCCAACUUUUGUCUUCAAUUAUAAUAAAUUCUAUAACCAGAAAAUAGGUUUUUGUCCUUAUACCUCGAAAUAACCACCACAUUAUCCAAGUACACAAAAAAACUAUGUUUUUUGUAGCAUAAAACAUUUGCAGACUUACUUCAAGAUAGUUCUGUUGAUGUUUUUAAGCUCUGAAAUGGGAAGGCCUUAAUUUUCUUCUCUUACAAAGGUGCAUCUUUGGACCUUCAGGAAAAACUAUGUACAUUUUAUAUUUUUCAUCAGAGGAAAUAAUUUUAAAAGAAAAGAAUGAUCAGAUAGCUUUCUGAGAGGAAGAGUACUGUCUUGCACUUGACUUAAAGGGUAGAAUAAAUGAAUAAUUUUGUAUGCAAGGUUCUUGGUUUGCUUACAACUUUCUGCUAAAACUAUAGAGACCUUUAAGCAAAGGAUUCCACCAAUUACAUUUGUUGUAUGUGUGUGUAUAUAUUUUUCAGAAAGCAUAUGUUAGUAGGGCUAUUAAGCAAUUAGCUUCAUGCAUAUAGAUAGUUCAUUUUGCACCAAACCAUAUGAUGUGACUAGAAUUUAUAGAAAACCAUCUUUCCUGCCAGAAAUUGAGGCGAGUUAAUUCUCUAGUUUGGAAAAGUGUGGUCUUCUGGCUGCAAGCUGUACUCUUAAAAAUUAAGAGUCUGGUAUUCUACAUUUGAUAGCUUAGAAAAGUGCAUAAAAUACAAAAGUUUUAUUUUUAUUAAAUGAAGAAACCAGAAAAAGAAAACUGAAGUGGCACCUUGUUCAUAUUGCAUGCUCACUAAAUGUUUGAUAAGUUGCAAUAAAAUGAUGCCAGCAGGAACUGCGAUUCCUCUUUUUUAUAUAAAUGUAUGCCAUGAGGUCUUAUGUCCUUGUCAGAUUUGGCUCCGAGCUUUCUAGCAGUCUAUGCAAAAAGGGAAAUGCAAUCAGUGACAGAAUCUGUAAUGUCCAUGAGAUAAAAACAAACUGGCUGCUCAGUAGAAGCCAAGCUAUUUCCAGGGCUAUAAUAGCUAUUUCUAGAGUGAAUGAAUGCUAUUGAAAUCUGAGAAAAAUUGAGAGGUUAUUUGAGCCUUCAUCAUCUUUAUAGCAAACACAACAGAGAGUAUCAUUUGGCUAUUUCUCCUAAUGCCCAAAAGUAGUUCAGGAAAACUUCUUUUAUGGGGGUGAAAUACCACAACUGCCGGAUAUGUGGCUUAAUUCAAAAAAUAUUUUGAAUUUCCUAGAAAUCCCAGAAAUCAAAUGAUACAGAAAAUCUAUCCACUAUGUACACUUCAGGUAUAUGUACAUUUUUCCAUAUGUAAAAUAAAAUUCAUUGCCCCCCCUUUGAAGUUCUAGCUGUACUUAAGAAAAGUAGACUAUUACAAUCUUGUCUCAUUUUUAUAGCAUUCAUAUCCCUGGGCACAGUCAUUAAUCAGUGUGUUUUUUUUGUUUGUUUUGUUUUUUUUGAGGAAAGAGGAUUAUACUAAAAGUCCAUGAAUAUCUAUUACAAAAUGCAAAAUUCUACAUGAUUGGCCUUUUGUAAAUAAUAAGCAAAACUAAUAAAUCAAAAUGAUCAGAAGCAUUUUAACAGACACAUUCAUAUGAAUGGAAAUGUUGACAUUCUUUCUGAAAGCGCUUUUUCCCUUUACUGCUGCCAUUUUUAUUGUGGAUUUCCCUGUUCAACACUUAGUUCCAAUUUUUUUAAUGAUCCAUUUCAACAAUAGACAGCAAUAUUCUCCCACUUAUGUGAGUUUUUGGUUGCAUUUUAUUACAUGAAAGAUUGCAGAGCCCUACUAUGAAUUACUGUAUUAGCAUUCAUUGUAUUUUAAAGGACUGUGCUCACAAAAAUUAUUAUGUGUGGGUCCAGGAAUUCUUUACUUGUGACUUUGAAAAGUCUAAUGUAACUUAACCUUCAGUUGUGGCUAGGCCAUGAGUACAUUUUGAAAAAAAUUAAAAAUACAAGAGCAAUAGAAAAUUUAAGAAUCCCAAAGAUAUGUUUGAUUUAAGGAGGUACCCAGAUGAAGGUGAUACUAUUUUUAAGAAAUAACCUAUUUACCUGAAUGUAGUUUCUCAGAACUUAGUUUAUAACUUAGUUGCCUGGAGAUCAAAAUACAGUUUUCUUAGGAAAAAAUGUUAUAAAUUCAAGUCCAUUUAAUGGUUAUUUAAGCAUCAAUGCUCUCUCUCAUCUUUAAGGAACUUGCUUGCUGGUGGUGUGGAAAAAAAAGACAAGGACACAAAUAACUUGGCAAACCUCUUUUUAACACAUUGUCAAGUGUCUUAUAAAGCAAGCUCAAAUGUGGCAGAAAGCCACCAUCGAAUUUCAGAGUCAAAGAAUUCAUAAAUUGUUAUAAGUUUGUUCUAUAGAUCAACUACUCAGGAUUUGGGAGUUUUGUGCUAGUACCUUCCUUUUACCCCCUUGUCAUUUCUUCUUAACCCCACAUGCAUCCCAUGCUAGCCACCACCUCCCCAUGAAACAGAGGGGGCAGUUUCCAGCUGAUGGAUAAUCAGAACGUCAUUGACUUAAGAAAUUUAGUUUUAUUGUUAAGCUAAAAUCUCUUUCACAGAUUCCCCUAUCACUUAAAUAAGUCAUUUAAUAUUGAUCCCCAGAAUGACAGAUUGCUAAAGAUUUAGGAAAUUUUUUAUCACUUCAUUAGAAGUGACAGAGUUUCUGACACCAAUAUAUUUUCACUUGUGAUAAUUUUAUUUUAUGAUCUAUUUAGCAUAGAACAAUAUUCAUAUUAAUAUUUUGAGAACUGUUUUUAAUAUUUUCAACUAAAUUGCAUGCAUUUGGAUACCAGUGGAUCCCACUAAAAGCAUAACUGAGUAUCUUAUUUUACUAAAUGCAGAAUAGCUCAUUUUAUCAAGGCUUGUAUUUCUCUCCUAUUCUCACAAGCAGAGGUGAUAUGUAAACUCUUCAAUCUCUACUACAAAACUCUACCAGUCAGCUCACACUUACCGGUUCUCCAUCUCUUCUUACCUCCCUCGGAGCCCAAAUCCAUGCAAAGAGCUACAGAAGGGACAGAGGCCUCUGAGCUUGGCGCAUCCAUGUGGGAGCCACUGUGCAGUACCCAGGAAGCAGGACUUAGAAGGGCUGACUGGGUCCUGAAACACCAGUCAUAGGAAGGUGUGUGAAACUUGAACUUUAACACUUAGUUACUAUUCCAAGAGAGUCCUGGCCAGGUCACUUUUACCAACCUGUAGCAAUUUAAAAAUAUUAUAAUAAUCUCUGGAGCCCUACUUAGUACUUACCUAAGUAGGUGGGUAUCAGAACUGCUUACAAUCUGAUGUAAAACUGGACCUACAAAAACUUAAGGCAGCAUUUUUAGUCGUUAUCUAAAUGUUGCCUUGUCUGCCAUGCUUGAAUCUUUCUUCUGCUUGAAUGUGGGUUCAAUGCCUACAAGGCUUUUUUUUUUAAUCUGUUUACCCAAACUAUUCACUCUUUCCUCCUAAGACCUCAGUUUCCACUUUUGUAAAAUGGUUGCUGUAGAGUUUGAGAGUGCAAGUGAAACCCUUUGUACAAUGUCUGGAAUACAGCAGGUGCUAACCAUUAUCCAAUUGUCACUUUAUAAUCGCAUAAACUAGAUGCAGUUACAUAGAUGAUUGGUAUAUUUGACUACAGAAACACAUGUUGUGUGCUGUGUUAGAACAAAAUGAUAACCCCCAAAAGUGGGUUAUUACUGGGUAUGAGAUGUUUUCAUACACUGUAGGGCUAUGGUGUACUCUGAAGCCUUGAAGAAGCCUAGGAUUUCAGGGCCUGAUGUCAGCUAGUGGCUUCAGGGCCACUAUUAUUCAGGAAGAGGUAGUUUCUCUCUCUCUCUCUCUCUCUCUCUCUCUCUCCCUCUGUCUCUCUCUCUUUCUCUCUUUUGAGAGACAGAGUCUCUGUCAAGCUUCAGGUCUCCCUGUACUCAAAUAUUAUCUUUUGACUUUUGCUCAAAACCAGGCAAUAGAGCAUAUCUUAAAAGCACCAGUGGCAGGAAACUGGAGGCUCUUUUGUUUGUGGCAAACAUGAAUAAGAAGACUGUC